rnacentral:misc_RNA from 1 species
UGCUGCUCCUCUAGUCUCUAAAUCGGUCCAUGGAACAACAGAGUAGUCGAGCUUAGCUUCUGUGAAGGAAUUGAACAAACUAGUCCGUGGAAUAGUAAAGAUGAAGAAGAUGACGAUGGAUCUUAGGAAAGGAGCUUAGCUUCUGGUUGUGGCUUCCACAAUAGACAUCAACAAACGAUAAUGGAUGAAAAGGAAAGAAGUGUGCCUCUAAAAAAUAUUAACGACAAUGGAACUUGAACAGACGAUAUAGAUGACAAUGGAGUUUUGACAGAUGAUGAUAAAAUAAAAUAAAAUAAAAUA